rnacentral:snoRNA from 1 species
AAGACUAUACUUUCAGGGAUCAUUUCUAUAGCUCGGUACUAGAGAAAUUUCUAUGAUCGUGUAGAGCACCAGAAACCAUGAGGAGCCAGAGCAUCCUCUCCUGAGCAUGAACCCAGUCCUAUGUUGUUUUUUCAACUACCUUUUACCACUGUUCAUUCUCCUCCCUUGGAGAGAAUGCAGUCUGAAUAG